rnacentral:lncRNA from 1 species
GGGUAUUAAAAAUGAAAAGUAGGGGUGUACAAACUAAAUCAUCUCUAAAGGCAGAUUUGGCCUAAGCCCAAUUGAUAAGGGUGUGACUUAGAGAACAUGGGGGUGCAGAAGGGAUUCCUGGCUUUCGGGCUCGGCCUAAGGGCCCAAAGCCCUCCCCAAUUCAGCAAAAAAGGGGGUCUGACCUAUGUCCAACAUUUCCUCCUCACUCAGCUUCCCCCACCAAGCUAGGGCUCCCUCACUCUCCCUCUGCCACGUCGUCGCAAACCGGCCAUCGCUCUGCCGCCAAAAGUGUCG